CUAACUUAUGCACAUCACUCAACUAACCCACUUCUCCUUCUUUUUAUAUCCAAUUAUGAAUUAGUAAUGAUACCAGACGCACCACUCGAGGGCCCAUUAUCAGCUGUUUAUGCGUUUUCCUAUAAUAACAAACAACAUUAAGAUCGCAUUCAAAGGCAAACUAAGGAGUGCAGAGGGUAUUUUACUAAGCAGAGACGAAUGGCCGUGAAGCUCAAUUACCUCUUUCUUUUCGUUUACAUUGUUCUUCUUAUUUCAGCGGGGAAUGCUACUAGUGCGCACCUGACGAUGCCCACAAAGGUAGCUACCGCAGGAGGACGGGAUGGGAAAGCGGGUAGGUCGGAAUGGCUAUACGUAGCAGGAGAGUGUGCAAAAUUACCACUUUGCAACAAAUAUUGCGUUUCCAACGGGUUUCGUCUUGGUGGGUUUUGUAAAAAAUUAUCCCCUCGAGCUUCUUCUCUUUCUUGUGUUUGUAAAUACACCUAACUUAACAACAAGUUUCUUUUCUUUCUUUUUGUUAUUGAGAAAAACAAUAAAAGUGUUGUUGACAAGUUAAGCCUUGUUUGUGGUCCCUUCUACCGUUCUACGUAUGUUUUGUGGUUUGGAACUUGCAAGUCUGGUAUUGCUUUGUGAUUUAAUAAUUUCGGCUUUAAAAAAAUAAGAUCUUGAAUUAGCCUAUAA